rnacentral:misc_RNA from 1 species
UCUCUCUCUCUCUCUCUCUCCCGGUGGAGAGCUAGAAAAGCAAUUAAACUGAGUUGAACAUGGUUGAGUUAGCACUGCAUAUCUGUAGUGGAGGUGGCUCUUAGUAUAUUGUAGUUAUCAGAUAAUGAAACGUUGAUAAUAGCAGGAUUUAAUUGUUUGCAUGUGAAUGGAGAAAUUUUUUUUUUUGUUCUGUUUUUUUCCCUCUCAAUUUAAAAUCUGCUUGGACAAUUUCCUGGUUUGCAAAUUGGAGAGGCUUACAAUAUUUUUUCCCGUUUCAUUUAAUACAUCCUCUCUCUCUCUCUCUUUGCGGGCACAUGCGCCUCUGUCCGAGGAGUCUGCUCUCAGUAACAGUUUCUAUUAAUGUGAUUUUGAUAAUUUUCCAUGAUUGGUUUCUGAAGAACACUUCAGUUUGCUUCACUUGGACUUUAGAUUUGGAAAUUCGAAAUUUGUAAUGCGAAACUUUGUUUCUUGUUUUGGUUGUCUUCCCUUUUCGGCUUGGUUCUGUUAGAUCUGGGUUGUGCUUGUUCUUUGAUUCACUAAUAAUUUGGAAAAUCUAG